GAUGAACGCUGGCGGCGUGCCUAAUACAUGCAAGUCGAGCGAACGGACGAGAAGCUUGCUUCUCUGAUGUUAGCGGCGGACGGGUGAGUAACACGUAGAUAACCUACCUAUAAGACUGGGAUAACUUCGGGAAACCGGAGCUAAUACCGGAUGAUAUUUUGAACCGCAUGGUUCAAAAGUGAAAGACGGUCUUGCUGUCACUUAUAGAUGGAUCCGCGCUGCAUUAGCUAGUUGGUAAGGUAACGGCUUACCAAGGCAACGAUGCAUAGCCGACCUGAGAGGGUGAUCGGCCACACUGGAACUGAGACACGGUCCAGACUCCUACGGGAGGCAGCAGUAGGGAAUCUUCCGCAAUGGGCGAAAGCCUGACGGAGCAACGCCGCGUGAGUGAUGAAGGUCUUCGGAUCGUAAAACUCUGUUAUUAGGGAAGAACAUAUGUGUAAGUAACUGUGCACAUCUUGACGGUACCUAAUCAGAAAGCCACGGCUAACUACGUG
rnacentral:rRNA from 1 species